GACACGGUCACGGCCGAGGCGGAGGACAAGGUGGUCGACGACAGGGUCGUGUUCCUCGAGCUGUUCUCUAAGGGGCGCGUCGCUAUGAAUGCACCCGGGGCUGCAACCAAGACAGUGGACGGCAAGCCCAUCGAUCU
rnacentral:rRNA from 1 species